rnacentral:rRNA from 1 species
AGGAUGAUCAGCCACAUUGGGACUGAGACACGGCCCAAACUCCUACGGGAGGCAGCAGUGGGGAAUAUUGGACAAUGGGCGCAAGCCUGAUCCAGCCAUGCCGCGUGAGUGAUGAAGGCCUUAGGGUUGUAAAGCUCUUUCACCGGUGAAGAUAAUGACGGUAACCGGAGAAGAAGCCCCGGCUAACUUCGUGCCAGCAGCCGCGGUAAUACGAAGGGGGCUAGCGUUGUUCGGAAUUACUGGGCGUAAAGCGCAUGUAGGCGGACAUUUAAGUCAGGGGUGAAAUCCCGGGGCUCAACCUCGGAACUGCCUUUGAUACUGGGUGUCUAGAGUGUGGAAGAGGUAAGUGGAAUUCCGAGUGUAGAGGUGAAAUUCGUAGAUAUUCGGAGGAACACCAGUGGCGAAGGCGGCUUACUGGUCCAUUUCUGACGCUGAGGUGCGAAAGCGUGGGGAGCAAACAGGAUU